AAGAUUAAGCCAUGCAUGUCUAAGUAUAAGCAAUUAUACAGCGAAACUGCGAAUGGCUCAUUAUAUAAGUUAUCGUUUAUUUGAUAGUGCCUUACUACUUGGAUAACCGUGGUAAUUCUAGAGCUAAUACAUGCUACAAGCCCUGACUUCGGAAGGGGCGUAUUUAUUAGAUUAAAAACCAACGCCCUCUGGGCUCCUUGGUGAAUCAUGAUAACUUCACGAAUCGCACGGCCUUGCGCCGGCGAUGGCUCAUUCAAAUUUCUUCCCUAUCAACUUUCGAUGUUUGGGUAGUGGCCAAACAUGGUUGCAACGGGUAACGGAGGGUUAGGGCUCGACCCCGGAGAAGGAGCCUGAGAAACGGCUACUACAUCCAAGGAAGGCAGCAGGCGCGCAAAUUACCCAAUCCCGACUCGGGGAGGUAGUGACAAUAAAUACUGAUACAGGGCUCUUUCGGGUCUUGUAAUCGGAAUGAGUACAAUUUAAAUCCCUUAACGAGGAACAAUUGGAGGGCAAGUCUGGUGCCAGCAGCCGCGGUAAUUCCAGCUCCAAUAGCGUAUAUUAAAGUUGUUGUGGUUAAAAAGCUCGUAGUUGAACCUUGGGCCUGGCUGGCCGGUCCGCCUCACCGCGUGUACUGGUCCGGCCGGGCCUUUCCCUCUGUGGAACCUCAUGCCCUUCACUGGGUGUGCAGGGGAAACAGGACUUUUACUUUGAAAAAAUUAGAGUGCUCCAGGCAGGCCUAUGCUCGAAUACAUUAGCAUGGAAUAAUAAAAUAGGACGUGCGGUUCUAUUUUGUUGGUUUCUAGGACCGCCGUAAUGAUUAAUAGGGACAGUCGGGGGCAUCAGUAUUCAAUUGUCAGAGGUGAAAUUCUUGGAUUUAUUGAAGACUAACUACUGCGAAAGCAUUUGCCAAGGAUGUUUUCAUUAAUCAGGAACGAAAGUUAGGGGAUCGAAAACGAUCAGAUACCGUUGUAGUCUUAACCAUAAACUAUGCCGACUAGGGAUCGGACGAUGUUAUUUUUUGACUCGUUCGGCACCUUACGAGAAAUCAAAGUGCUUGGGCUCCAGGGGGAGUAUGGUCGCAAGGCUGAAA
rnacentral:rRNA from 1 species